UGGCUCAGAUGGUAAAGUGUCUGUCUGCAAUGCAGGAGACCAGGGUUCGAUCCCUG
rfam:Ovis aries breed Texel chromosome 2, whole genome shotgun sequence.